rnacentral:rRNA from 1 species
AUUGAACGCUGGCGGCAGGCCUAACACAUGCAAGUCGAACGAGUGGCGGACGGGUGAGUAAUGUCUGGGAAACUGCCUGAUGGAGGGGGAUAACUACUGGAAACGGUAGCUAAUACCGCAUACCAUCGGAUGUGCCCAGAUGGGAUGAGCUAGUAGGUGGGGUAACGGCUCACCUAGGCGACGAUCCCGAGCUGAUCUGAGAGGCUGAUCGGCCACACUGGAACUGAGACACGGCCCAGACUCCUACGUGAGGCAGCAGUGGGGAAUAUUGCGCAAUGGGCGCAAGCCUGAUGCAGCCAUGCCGCGUGUAUGAAGAAGGCCUGCGGGUUGUAAAGUACUUUCAGUGGGGAGGCGUUACCCGCAGAAGAAGCACCGGCUAACUCCGUGCCAGCAGCCGCGGUAAUUC